UACGAAGGGGGCUAGCGUUGUUCGGAAUCACUGGGCGUAAAGGGCGCGUAGGCGGCCUGAUAAGUCGGGGGUGAAAGCCUGUGGCUCAACCACAGAAUUGCCUUCGAUACUGUCGGGCUUGAGACCGGAAGAGGUAAGUGGAACUGCGAGUGUAGAGGUGAAAUUCGUAGAUAUUCGGCGGAACACCAGUGGCGAAGGCGACUCACUGGCCCGAUACUGACGCUGAGGUGCGAAAGCGUGGGGAGCAAACAGG
rnacentral:rRNA from 1 species